rnacentral:lncRNA from 1 species
AGGAUCAUCAUGAGGGUGAUGAAAGAUCUGGAUAGACUGGUGCACAAAUUACUUCUUUUGAGAUAGAUGGGUCUCAAUCUACUGUGUAGAGACACAGGACGACAACUGCAGGUGGUUGUUAGAGAACAACUGGCACUGAGCAUGACCAUAUGAGAGAUCACUUAGAUUUCUAUUUAAUCGUCAGUGAUUGUUUUGAUGCUGUAGUUGUGUGAUUGAUCUUUUGGCUUGAGAUGG